GAUGAACGCUGGCGGCGUGCCUAAUACAUGCAAGUCGAGCGAAUGGAUUAAGAGCUUGCUCUUAUGAAGUGAGCGGCGGACGGGUGAGUAACACGUGGGGAACCUGCCCAUCGGACUGGGAUAACGCCGGGAAACCGGGGCAAAUCCUGAAGAACAUUUUGAACAGCAUGGUUCGAAAUUGAAAGGUGGCGUCGGCUGGCACUUCUGCAGGGUCCCGGGUUGCAGUAGCUAGUUGGUGAGGUAACGGCUCACCAAGGCCACGAUGCGUAGCCGACCUGAGAGGGUGAUCGGCCACACUGGGACUGAGGAACGGCCCAGACUCCUACGGGAGGCAGCAGUAGGGAAUCUUCCGCAAUGGACGAAAGUCUGACGGAGCAACGCCGCGUGAGUGAUGGAGGCUUUCGGGUCGUAAGACUCUGUUGUUAGGGAAGAACAAGUGCUAGUUGAAUAAGCUGGCACCUUGACGGUACCUAACCAGAAAGCCACGGCUAACUACGUGCCAGCAGCCGCCGUAA
rnacentral:rRNA from 1 species